rnacentral:lncRNA from 1 species
CCCAAAAUCCCGUUUUUUAUCACCCCAAAUCCCAUUUUUUUCACCCAAAUCCCCUUUAUUAUCCCCCAAAUCCCAAUUUUUUCACCCCAAAUCCCAUUUUUUCCCCCCCAAAUCCCCAUUUUUUUCCCCCCAAAAUCCCAUUUUUUCCCCCAAAUCCCCUUUUUUCUCACCCAAAUCCCCUUUCCCCCCCCCCAAACCCCUUUUUUUUUCACCCAAACCCCAUAUUUUUCACCCAAAUCCCUUUUUUUCACCCCAAAUCCCUUUUUUCACCCAAAUCCCAUUUUUUCCCCCCAAAUCCCAUUUUUUUUCCCCAAAUCCCCUUUUCCCCCCCAAAUCCCUUUUUUUUUUCACCCAAAUCCCCUUUUUUUCCCCCAAAUCCUGGUUUUUUCCCCCAAAUCCUUUUUCUUUCCCCCAAAUCCCCUUUUUUCCCCCAAAUCCCAUUUUUUCCCCCAAAUCCCCUUUUACCCCCCCCAAUCCCAUUUUUCCCCCCAAACCCCUUUUUUUUUUCCCCAAAUCCCUUUUUUUUCCCCCCAAAUCCCAUUUUUUUUCACCCCAAAUCCCAUUUUUCCCCCCCAAAUCCCCUUUCCCCCCCCCCAAAUCCCCAUUUCUUCCCCCCCAAAUCCCAUUUUUUCCCCCCCAAAUCCCUUUUUUCACCCAAAUCCCAAUUUUUUCCCCCAAAUCCCAUUUUUUUCCACCCAAAUCCCCUUUUUUCCCCCCAACCCCAUUUUUCCCCCCCAAAUCCCCUUUUUUCCCCCCCCUAAAUCCCAUUUUUUUUCCCCCCAAAUCCCAUUUUUUCCCCCCAAAUCCCCUUUUUUUCACCCAAACCCCCUUUUUUUCCCCCAAAUCCCAUUUUUCCGCCCCCAAAUCCCAUUUUUCCCCCCCCAAAUCCCAUUUUUUUUCACCCAAAUCCACUUUUUUCCCCCCAAAUUCCCCUUUUUUUUCCCCAAAAUCCCCUUUUUUCCCCCUCCAGCCCCAAUUUGGGGAGGGGUCUCACCCCCCGGGCCCCCCCAGACCUACGUGGGGGGGGGGCCCUGCAGGUCGGCGUUGCUGCGGGAGCGGGGGGGGGGCGGCUGGAGACCCCCCCCCGAUUUUUGGGAGCGGCGGCGCUCGGGGGGGGGCCCCGAGACUCUCGGAGCGCCCCAACCUGGGGGGGAUCCUGGGGGGCCCCAAAAAAGCCGAAAUACGGGGGGGGGGCACGGACGGGACAAUGACACAGACAAAAUUGGGGAGGGGGUCCCAAAAAAACCAAAAAACCCAAAAAUUAAAAAAGGGGAGGGGGCACAGACAUGGAAAUUGGGGGGGGGGGUCCCAAAAAAUCCGAAAAUUAAAAUAGGGGAGGGGGCACAGACAUGGAAAUUGGGGGGGGUCCCAAAAAACCCAAAAAAUCCCAAAAAUUAA